UUUGUUCCAGCUCCCGAUUCGGACCCUUCGAACUCGGAAUCUCAACCCAGUGACCAUGUAGCAAGAAAAAAGGAAACAAAAGCAAAAAGAAAAGUGAAAAGAAGAAAGCAAAAAUGGAGAUAAGAUUAUUUUCUUAUUAUUAAAUCUAUUAUCAUUUCUUGUCUGCCAUAUUCAUCAGAGUCAAGAGACAGAAAGAUGGGCGCCAAGCAGAAAAAGAAAAGCCGAAAAGAAGAUGCUCCACUACUCCACUAUCCCACGGGAUAACAUGAUUAAAGAUAAGAAGAUGCCCACCAAGGUUUCCCGUCUCCACUUUCUGUUGGACCGGAAGAUGCCCAUCAACACGCUGAAAACAUGUAAUUUAUUUUUCGUAUCUUUCGGAGACAUCUGUAUAAACCCCAUCAGAGGGUUAAAAAAAACGGCAAAGCCCAAAAUAAAUGGGCUGAAAUGUUGUGCAGAGGGCGAAGGCCCAUAAGCCCAAAAUAGCUCCAACCAGGUGAUCAAAAGUACGCC
rnacentral:lncRNA from 1 species